rnacentral:lncRNA from 1 species
UUGGACCAGCAGGUCCAAAACAGCAGAAGCCAAGGCAGGCAGCGGUCUUGGAGAUGCCCUCUGACCUGCCGUGGACUGGAGCCUCUAAGAUGCUUCCUCCUGAGGCUGGAGCUGAUGACUGGCAUCCUUGGGAUGUAACCUGCGUGCAGCCGGCAGGCACAGCCUUUUCUCGGGGGCCUCCAGUGACUCAGAGUCAAAUCUGUGCUUCUUGGCUCCUGGAUCUCUGAGCUGCACCCACUGGACCCCUAUGCCAACCCCAGCACCCCUGUUCUCCAUGGCGGCCCCGCCCUGAGGAUUUCCUAUGCCUUUCUACAGAGCUUUCUCCUUCUCCUAGAUCCCUUUUCUGCAAAACGAGGCUGGGGAGUUCUGAGCCAAGCCCAGGCCCACGUGCCUGGAACCAGAGACAGCGUAAGGAGCAGACACUGCCAGGUCACUUGCAGCAGACUCCAGGAGGAAAUGAGGGAAACAGAACCUCAGCCGUAGCCUAGCCAGGGCUCUCAGAGCCUAGAAAGCUCUUAGGAGAAGUGGAGAGUUGUUCAGAUCCAGGCUAAUUUGUCAUCUCCAG